rnacentral:rRNA from 1 species
UAGGGAAUCUUCGGCAAUGGACGAAAGUCUGACCGAGCAACGCCGCGUGAGUGAAGAAGGUUUUCGGAUCGUAAAACUCUGUUGUUAGAGAAGAACAAGGACGUUAGUAACUGAACGUCCCCUGACGGUAUCUAACCAGAAAGCCACGGCUAACUACGUGCCAGCAGCCGCAGUAAUACGUAGGUGGCAAGCGUUGUCCGGAUUUAUUGGGCGUAAAGCGAGCGCAGGCGGUUUCUUAAGUCUGAUGUGAAAGCCCCCGGCUCAACCGGGGAGGGUCAUUGGAAACUGGGAGACUUGAGUGCAGAAGAGGAGAGUGGAAUUCCAUGUGUAGCGGUGAAAUGCGUAGAUAUAUGGAGGAACACCAGUGGCGAAGGCGGCUCUCUGGUCUGUAACUGACGCUGAGGCUCGAAAGCGUGGGGAGCAAACAGG